GCGAAUGCUGGCGGCAGGCUUAACACAUGCAAGUCGAGCGGGCAUCCUUGUGGUGUCAGCGGCAGACGGGUGAGUAACGCGUGGGAACGUGCCCUUCGGUUCGGAAUAACUCAGGGAAACUUGAGCUAAUACCGGAUACGUGCGAGAGCAGAAAGGUUUAUCUGCCGAAGGAUCGGCCCGCGUCUGAUUAGCUAGUUGGUGAGGUUAUGGCUCACCAAGGCGACGAUCAGUAGCUGGUCUGAGAGGAUGAUCAGCCACACUGGGACUGAGACACGGCCCAGACUCCUACGGGAGGCAGCAGUGGGGAAUAUUGGACAAUGGGGGCAACCCUGAUCCAGCCAUGCCGCGUGAGUGAUGACGGCCUUAGGGUUGUAAAGCUCUUUUCUCCGGGACGAUAAUGACGGUACCGGAGGAAUAAGCCCCGGCUAACUUCGUG
rnacentral:rRNA from 1 species